CAGUCGCCACGGUAAAACCGAGGGUGCAAGCGUUAAUCGGAAUUACUGGGCGUAAAGCGCGCGUAGGUGGUUUGUUAAGUUGGAUGUGAAAGCCCCGGGCUCAACCUGGGAACUGCAUCCAAAACUGGCAAGCUAGAGUACGGUAGAGGGUGGUGGAAUUUCCUGUGUAGCGGUGAAAUGCGUAGAUAUAGGAAGGAACACCAGUGGCGAAGGCGACCACCUGGACUGAUACUGACACUGAGGUGCGAAAGCGUGGGGAGCAAACAGGAUUAGAUACCCGCGUAGUCCCUGUCUCUUAUAA
rnacentral:rRNA from 1 species